rnacentral:rRNA from 1 species
UACAGAGGUCUCAAGCGUUGUUCGGAUUCAUUGGGCGUAAAGGGUGCGUAGGCGGCGCGGUAAGUCGGGUGUGAAAUCUCGGAGCUUAACUCCGAAACUGCAUUCGAUACUGACGUGCUUGAGGACUGGAGAGGAGACUGGAAUUUACGGUGUAGCGGUGAAAUGCGUAGAUAUCGUAAGGAAGACCAGUGGCGAAGGCGGGUCUCUGGACAGUUCCUGACGCUGAGGCACGAAGGCCAGGGGAGCAAACGGG